UGUAGUUCAUUAAUCCAAUAUUUUCGAAUACCUUCUUAGAUUUUUCACAACAUUAAAGGAGUAUCCUGUGGUGAUACCAAUUUCAGUUUUCCAAAUGGGAAUCUAUAUAAAUAGAUUGAGUAUAAAUUUAAAUAAAUUUUGGUGUCAACAAUUUUGAUUUCUAUCAACCUGUAAACGAGAUAUUCCACUUAGUUUAGGUAGGGGCAGAGUAGUGGAACACUAUUAAAACUCCACUAUUUACUCCAUUUAUUUAUGGAAUUU